UACGGAGGGGGCGAGCGUUAUUCGGAAUCAUUGGGCGUAAAGGGCGCGUAGGCGGCCCCGUAAGUCUUGGGUGAAAGCCCUCGGCUCAACCGAGGAAUUGCCUUGGAUACUGCGGGGCUCGAGGCUGGAAGAGGGCAGUGGAAUUCCCGGUGUAGCGGUGAAAUGCGUAGAUAUCGGAAGGAACAUCAGUGGCGAAGGCGACUUCCUGGACCAAUACUGACGCUCAGGUGCGAAAGCGUGGGGAGCAAACAGG
rnacentral:rRNA from 1 species